AGUGGCGGACGGGUGAGUAACGCGUGAGCAACCUGCCCUUCGGAGGGGGAUAGUGUCUGGAAACGGACAGUAAUACCGCAUAACGUAUUUUUACCGCAUGAUAGAAAUACCAAAACUGAGGUGCCGAAGGAUGGGCUCGCGUUGGAUUAGAUAGUUGGUGGGGUAACGGCCUACCAAGUCGACGAUCCAUAGCCGGACUGAGAGGUUGAACGGCCACAUUGGGACUGAGACACGGCCCAGACUCCUACGGGAGGCAGCAGUGGGGAAUAUUGCACAAUGGGGGAAACCCUGAUGCAGCAACGCCGCGUGAAGGAAGACGGUUUUCGGAUUGUAAACUUCUGUUCUUAGUGAAGAAUAAUGAUGGUAGCUAAGGAGCAAGCCACGGCUAACUACGUGCCGGCAGCCGCGGUAAUACGUAGGUGGCAAGCGUUGUCCGGAAUUACUGGGUGUAAAGGGAGCGCAGGCGGGAAGCCAAGUCAGCUGUGAAAACUACGGGCUUAACUUGUAGACUGCAGUUGAAACUGGUUUUCUUGAGUGAAGUAGAGGUUGGCGGAAUUCCGAGUGUAGCGGUGAAAUGCGUAGAUAUUCGGAGGAACACCGGUGGCGAAGGCGGCCAACUGGGCUUUAACUGACGCUGAGGCUCGAAAGUGUGGGGAGCAAACAGGAUUAGAUACCCUGGUA
rnacentral:rRNA from 1 species